UACAGAGGGUGCAAGCGUUGUCCGGAAUUAUUGGGCGUAAAGAGCUCGUAGGCGGCUUGUCGCGUCGGAUGUGAAAGCCCGGGGCUUAACUCCGGGUCUGCAUUCGAUACGGGCAGGCUAGAGUUCGUAGGGGAGAUCGGAAUUCCUGGUGUAGCGGUGGAAUGACGCAGAUAUCAGGAGGAACACCGGUGGCGAAGGCGGGUCUCUGGGCAGUAACUGACGCUGAGGCGCGAAAGCGUGGGGAGCAAACAGGG
rnacentral:rRNA from 1 species